rnacentral:tRNA from 1 species
GGUGAGGUGGCCGAGUGGUCGAAGGCGCACGCCUGGAAAGUGUGUAAACGGCAACGUUUCGAGGGUUCGAAUCCCUCCCUCACCGCCA